AAUUGCGAUGGUCCCUGCGGAUGUUGACACAAUGUGAUUUUUGCCUAGUGCUUUGAAUGUUAAAGUGAAGAAAUCAAACCAAGCAUGGGUAAACGACGGGAGUAAAUAUGACUCUCUUAAGGUAGCCAAAUUCCUCAUCAUCUAAUUAGUGAUGCACAUGAAUGGAUUAACUAGAUUAUCACUAUCCCUAUCUAUUGUCUAGUGAAACCACGACCAAGGGAAUGGGCUUGGCAUAAUCAACAGGGAAAGAAGACAUUGUUGAGUUUGACUCUAGUACGAAUUUGUGAAAUGACUUGAGAUGUGUAGAAUAAGAGGGAUUCUUUUUUGGAACAAAUUAAAUACAACUAAUUUUAACGCUAUUUUACUUAUUAUGUGGGGGCGGAGAGGAGUAUUUACCCUAUUUUUGGCCUUAGGACCUGCUUCAUAGGGUCAAUCUGGGAGAAAGACAUUGUCAGGUGGGGAUUUGGAUGGGGCGACACAUCUGUUAAAAUAUAACAUAAAAUACAAUUGGUGUAGACAAAACAUUUGUAUUUGGGAUAUCCUAGUGCAUAACCACCCUUAUUAAAUUUCCCUCCUAAUUUGUAGU
rnacentral:ncRNA from 1 species